rnacentral:rRNA from 1 species
UACAGAGGGGGCAAGCGUUAUUCGGAAUUAUUGGGCGUAAAGGGCGCGUAGGCGGCUUUGCAAGUGACGGGUGAAAGCCCUCGGCUUAACCGAGGAACUGCCUGUCAGACUGUAAGGCUUGAGACCGGGAGAGGUGAGUGGAAUUCCCAGUGUAGCGGUGAAAUUCGUAGAUAUUGGGAGGAACACCAGUGGCGAAGGCGGCUCACUGGACCGGUACUGACGCUGAUGCGCGAAAGCGUGGGGAGCAAACAGG